rnacentral:rRNA from 1 species
CGGUGUUUAACUGGCGUGAUGUGGGACGUCCUACCGGUGGGCUUAGCCUCGCGAGGGGCGGCCCAACUAAUAUCCCGUCGCGGUGCUCUUUACUGAGUGUCGAGUCGGGCCGGUACGUUUACUUUGAACAAAUUAGAGUGCUUAAAGCAGGCUAUCCUCGCCUGAAUACUGCGUGCAUGGAAUAAUGGAAUAGGACCUCGGUUCUAUUUUGUUGGUUUUCGGAACCCCGAGGUAAUGAUUAAUAGGGACAGAUGGGGGCAUUCGUAUUGCGACGUUAGAGGUGAAAUUCUUGGAUCGUCGCAAGACGGACAGAAGCGAAAGCAUUUGCCAAAAAUGUUUUCGUUAAUCAAGAACGAAAGUUAGAGGUUCGAAGGCGAUCAGAUACCGCCCUAGUUCUAACCAUAAACGAUGCCAGCUAGCGAUCCGCCGAAGUUCCUCCGAUGACUCGGCGGGCAGCUUCCGGGAAACCAAAGCUUUUGGGUUCCGGGGGAAGUAUGGUUGCAAAGCUGAAACUUAAAGGAAUUGACGGAAGGGCACCACCAGGAGUGGAGCCUGCGGCUUAAUUUGACUCAACACGGGAAACCUCACCAGGCCCAGACACCGGAAGGAUUGACAGAUUGAUAGCUCUUUCUUGAUUCGGUGGGUGGUGGUGCAUGGCCCGUUCUUAGUUGGUGGAGCGAUUUGUCUGGUUAAUUCCGAUAACGAACGAGACUCUAGCCUGCUAAAUAGGCGUACCUUAUGGUAUCGCGAAGGCCCCCGGCUUCGGCCGGUGGGUUUUUACUACCAACGUACAAACAAAUCUUCUUAGAGGGACAGGCGG